GCGUGGUGGAGAGUCGAACGCUUUGACAACAACCACAACCACCCACUGAUAAGAAAGUCAUCCCUGACAAAAUUUCUAGCAUCACAUCGGAACAUUCCCAAAGACGAGCAAGAUUUCUUAUGGAUUCUACACGAAUGCAACAUAGAGACCACGAGGCAAAUGCAAGUAAUUUCAUGGAUCUAUGGUAAUGCUGAGAAUGUACCAUACACAACACAAGACCUUGCAAAUCAGUGAGCCAAAUUUCGCAAGGAGUACCGUAAUGCAAACGUGGGGAGCGCAAUUGCAUACUUUGAGGAGCUCAGGGCAAAGGAUCCAGAUUUCUAUUGGAGAAUAAAACUUGAUGACGAAGACAGGGUGGAAAAUGUGUUCUGGAUAGAUGGUUGUGGAUUCGUCCGAAAUGAACUGACUGACAACUUUGUGUGGUUGUUUAACACAUUCUUGCAUGCGAUGGGUGGGGUUGCACCAAAGAACAUAAUCACAGAUCAGGACUUUGCCAUGAGGAAUGCUAUUGAUGAGGUGUUCAUCGGGAUAGUACACAGAAAUUGCAGAUGACACAUUAUGAAGAAAGCACAAGAGAAGCUUGGGAGGUGGGAAAACAAGGAAUGCUGGGUCCCGAUGUACUACAUGCACGACUUCUUCCCAUUCUUGCAGACCACGACAAGGAGCGAGGGAUUCAACAUUGUGUUGAAGAAGUACGUCAACCCAAAUAACUCGCUAGUAGAAUUUGCAAAACAGUACACUGCGAUACAGGAGAAGGUGAUGGUGAGUUAUGUCUACUAUGCAACCUUCUUCUUUGUAGACGUUGUUGGGCCUCCAAGUGCAGAGGUUUGUAGGACAGUACCAAAUUUCCCUCAAGUGGAUGACCUAAGGUUUAUCAAUCCGUGGGAGGCGUAG
rnacentral:rRNA from 1 species